ACAACUCACCUGCCGAAU
rnacentral:snRNA from 1 species